rnacentral:rRNA from 1 species
GAUGAACGCUAAAGGAGUGCAUCAUACAUGCAAGUCGAGCGAACAGAAACAGAGCAAGAUACUCAGACAUUAGCGGCGGACGGAAGAGACACACGUGGAUAACCUACCUAUAAGACUGGGAUAACUUCGGGAAACCGGAGCUAAUACCGGAUAAUAUAUUGAACCGCAUGGUUCAAUAGUGAAAGACGGUUUUGCUGUCACUUAUAGAUGGAUCCGCGCCGCAUUAGCUAGUUGGUAAGGUAACGGCUUACCAAGGCAACGAUGCGUAGCCGACCUGAGAGGGUGAUCGGCCACACUGGAACUGAGACACGGUCCAGACUCCUACGGGAGGCAGCAGUAGGGAAUCUUCCGCAAUGGGCGAAAGCCUGACGGAGCAACGCCGCGUGAGUGAUGAAGGUCUUCGGAUCGUAAAACUCUGUUAUUAGGGAAGAACAAAUGUGUAAGUAACUAUGCACGUCUUGACGGUACCUAAUCAGAAAGCCACGGCUAACUACGU